UGCACAGCAGACUCUGUACUUGACCAGCAGUGAGGCUACUAUUACAGAGAACUUCUACCACAACGACUAUCUUGAGGAGCAACAAACUGCUGCUUUUCUGGAGACAGUACAACUUCUGACUGCGCAAGCCUGCGUCGGCCGCACAACACCCGACCGACUGAUAAGCACAACAAGUGCCGCCGACCAGCAUCCCAACGUUCCGGCAAUUUAAGGACACAGAAGAUGAAUGGCUCGAGUACCUGACACAGUUCCAACCACAUUGUCAAGUUCAUCGAGUCCAAGAUUCACGGCGCAGACUUCGCAGCCUGCUGGCACCACAUGAGGAGCGGAUGGACGAUGCUCCCUCGCCCCCACCCCCCCUGCUCGCCAGCCACAUGGACCUGGACCCGCCACUGCCAUCGCCGUCGCCGUCAUCGCCGCAGCACACUCCCUCAGGCCUGGACAUGUGCCCUGAAAGCAGUUUUCUGGAGGAUGUUCCUGUUGCCUCGCAAGCCAGAUGGCGGGAUAGCGUCGGGAGAAGGCUGCCCACCACAGCUAAGGCUACUGGCUCAUCUCUAUAUCCAGCGUCCUGGCUCCCUCCCCAUUGUUGUUUGCAGCGUCAGUACUUCACAGCGGUGCAGCAUUUCGGGGAGAGGAAUGUGCUGGCGUACGCUAGCGCCAGCACAACAGGCGGCAAAGAGGUUGCGAGAUCGAUAGAGGCCAACAACAGACGUGCAGGAAACGUGCCGCCAACACCCUCUCUGCCGCCAGUAUUUUGAUCCCCGCUGUGGACCGGAGGGCCAGUCUGUCACACCCAACGAGUUCCAGUCUGUCAUCAGACGCAGCCAAGUGGGAGUGGCAGCAGCAGUUAGGUCCGCAGCUUGCUCAGAAUCAGGCAGCACAAAGCGACCAGAAUACUGUGCGUAGCGGACUCUGUACUUGACCAGCAGUGAGGCUAACGGUGGACUGUUACAGAGAUCUUGUAUCACAACGACUAUCUAUUCUUAUGAAUAAAUA